UACGUAGGGUGCAAGCGUUUGUCCGGAAUUAUUGGGCGUAAAGAGCUCGUAGGCGGUCUGUCACGUCUGCUGUGAAAACUCGGGGCUUAACCCCGGGCCUGCAGUGGGUACGGGCAGACUAGAGUGCGGUAGGGGAGACUGGAAUUCCUGGUGUAGCGGUGAAAUGCGCAGAUAUCGGGAGGAACACCGGUGGCGAAGGCGGUUCUCUGGGCCUUACCUGACGCUGAGGAGCGAAAGCGUGGGGAGCGAACAGG
rnacentral:rRNA from 1 species